CCUACGGGAGGCAGCAGUGGGGAAUAUUGCACAAUGGGGGAAACCCUGAUGCAGCGACGCCGCGUGAGGGAGGAAGGAUUUCGGGAUGUAAAGCUCUAUCAGCAGGGACGAAAAAAGACGGUAUCUGACGAAGAUGCCCCGGCUAACUACGUGCCAGCAGCCGCGGUAAAACGCAGGGGGCAAGCGUUAUCCGGAUUUACUGGGUGUAAAGGGGGCGUAGAGGGCAAGGCAAGCCAGGAGUGAAAGGGCAGGGCUCAACCCUGUACAUGCUUUUGGAACUGUGGUGCUAGAGUGCAGGAGAGGUAAGUGGAAUUCCUAGUGUAGCGGUGAAAUGCGUAGAUAUUAGGAGGAACACCAGUGGCGAAGGCGGCUUACUGGACUGUAACUGACGUUGAGGCUCGAAAGCGUGGGGAGCAAACAGGAUUAGAUACCCCUGUAGUC
rnacentral:rRNA from 1 species